rnacentral:misc_RNA from 1 species
ACAGAGUUGCAAAACUCCCUAAACCAUUGUGAACGUUACCUAAACCGUUGCUUCGGCGGGCAGCCUCGGGGUUCUCCCCGGGCGCCCCUGGGCCCCAUCGCGGGCGCCCGCCGGAGGUCACCAAACUCUUGAUAAUUUAUGGCCUCUCUGAGUCUUCUGUACUGAAUAAGUCA